AGAGAGGGGGAAGAAUUGUGUGAUUUUCUACUUAAAUGCUCAUUGAUUUCACUAAUUAAAGUGAGUAAUUAGAGUGAUUGACUUAAUUAAACAUCAAGAGGGGGUUGAUUUUAAGGUGGUGAGUGCAUUGAAAGAAGGAUUUCAAGCUAGGGUUUGAAGAGGGAGAAGAAGAAAACUUGUUCUUUCUUGCAUUCUUUCCUUAAAUCCUUAUCAAAGUGAGGUAAAUAACAUGUUCUAAAUGAUUAAUUCCUUUAAUUUUAUGUUUGAUGAAGGAUUAUGCAAAAUGAUGAUUAUGUGAAGUUAUGGAUUUAUGUUAUAAUUUAUAGGAAUAAUGCAAAUUAUGUUUGAACCAUGUUAGAAAGCAUGAAUUAUGAUUGGGUAAGUGUUUAAUUUUAAAUAAAAGAAACAAAAAUUAAUUUUCCCCAUUUUAAUUGAAUAUUUGGCCAAGAGACGAAUAAUUUAGGGGAUUUGAGGUUUAAUACAAUUGUUUAGAAUAUAUGGGAAGAUGAAAGUUUAUAAGUAUUGUUAUAUGAAUGGAGUAGGAAUUUUUCAAGGAGAAAAGAAAAAUAUUCACUUCCUUCCCUAGGUUGUUUUUGGCUAAAUGGAGAAGAAAAUUAGAGAAUGGAGUUUAAAUGAUAUUAUUGAGGAGUUUUUGGCUAAAUGGAGAAGAAAAUUAGAGAAUGGAGUUUAAAUGAUAUUAUUGAGGAGUUUUUGGCUAAAUGGAGAAGAAAAAUUAGAGAAUGGAGUUUAAAUAAUAUUACUGAGGAACCUUACUAAAUUUAAGACAAUUGAUAUUGAUAGGUUAAAUUGAAUAGAGACUUUUGUGGAAAUAAUGCCCUGGUGAAUGGGCAGGCCUUGAAAAAUUAUUUCCUGGUUACUGGAAAUAAUACCCUGGUGAAUGGGUAGUUACUGGAAAUAAUACCCUGGUGAAUGGGUAGUUACUAGAAAUAAUGCCCUGGUGAAUGAGCGAGCCUUGAAGAUCAUUUCCUGAUUAUUGAAAUUUAUGCCUGGUAGAAUGACCACGUUAAGAAAAAUUAAUUUGUCAAAUUAAUGGGAUAAUCACUCGAUGUAAAAUAAAUCAUAAAACUUUGAAGUUAAAUAUGCUGGGUUGUGGGAGACACUCUUGAUAUUUUUUAUUUUAGUAGAUUUAUCCCUGUCUAGAAGAGAAUUUAUGAAAUUAGAAAUUUCAAAAAGAAAAUAAGACAAUCAAUUCUAUGAUAUGAAAAUCACCUUUAUGUAUAUAAAUAAUUAAUCCUUAAUCAGUUACUCAUUGAAUUGUGCAAUUUUUUUAAUCAUGUUUAAUGCAAUUAUGUUUUUAGGUACAUCGCACCCUCGAUCUGGGAAGUAGAUGCUCGGAUA
rnacentral:lncRNA from 1 species